rnacentral:rRNA from 1 species
GAUGAACGCUAGCGGCAGGCUUAAUACAUGCAAGUCGAGGGGCAGCGCGCAGCAAUGUGGCGGCGACCGGCAAACGGGUGCGGAACACGUACACAACCUUCCUCUUGGUGGGGGACAGCCCAGGGAAACUUGGAUUAAUACCGCAUAACACAAUGGAGUCUCAUGGUUUUAUUGUUAAAGAUUUAUUGGUUGAAGAUGGG